GACAGAGGGUGCAAACGUUGUUCGGAAUUACUGGGCGUAAAGCGCGCGCAGGCGGUUCUUCAAGUCAGAGGGGAAAGCCCAGAGCUCAACUCUGGAAUGGCCUUUGAGACUAGAGAACUAGGGUACGGGAGAGGUGAGUGGAAUUCCGAGUGUAGAGGUGAAAUUCGUAGAUAUUCGGAAGAACACCAGUGGCGAAGGCGGCUCACUGGCCCGUUACCGACGCUCAGGCGCGACAGCGUGGGGAGCAAACAGG
rnacentral:rRNA from 1 species